GCAGCACGGUCACCUCAGAUCCGCCGUGCGCCGUGGUCCUGCACCUCCACCAUCGUUCGGGGGAUGCGACCGGGUCAUGGUGGUGCGCCAGCAUGCGUUGAACGUCACGGGGGCGCCAACAUGUGAGGAUGAGUCUUGGAGCCACUGCGAUUUCUUGCCGGAGCUCGCGUUCAACCUCUAAGACGUACCGUGCUGUGACCCGGCUCAUCGUCGCGGCAAUUCGCAGUAAGUAUAUACUCCUAUGUUCCACUUGCUUCCCUCUUCGGGUUGCAUCAUUCCCGUUGGAUAGUUGGCGGCCGGAGCGUGGAGCAUGGUUGCUCCGGUGGGGGCGCCGCCUCCCUGGGCGGAGCGCCGCCUUAUCCUGGUAGCAUGGGGGAGAAGACGCUCUUAUCACCGUUGGUUUGAGUAUUGGCGGCCACAAUUAGAUCUUCAACACUGACUCGGCUAGAUGAUUUUGGUCCGUUCGAUCGGUGAGGUGUGGAUAGGAUUUAAUAUUGAUUCAUAAAAUAUUGGUCGUAGAUUUGUGAUUGGGCGGUCCUACGCUGUCCAUGGAUCCAUAAUGCACUAGAUCUAAUAUGAACCAUCGGGCGCCGAUCCAACGGCUCAGAUCCUAGCGUACCCCUUCGCGCUGAGCGUUUUACAUAAGAAACCUUGCCCUUUUGAGAAAACAACCCGCAAUCCUGGCGGUUAUUUUGCUCCAGUGACCCUGUCUUUUAUAGAAAUUGAGGCGAAAUCCGGAAAAUAAAGAAAAUAGGAAAACAAGUUUAGAAAUUGAUUUUGAGUUUAAAAAAUAAUUGCAGAAACUCAUUUAAUUCAUGGAAAAUUCAUAUUAAGUCCAAAUGAGUUAAUUUCAAUUUCUAUAAUUCUAUAGCAUUAUUGUUUAUCAAAUAGUGCCACUGAUUUGACAUGAAAGCCAAUUUAAAAUCUAUUUCCUAAUUAAUCUUAUAUCAAAUACAUAAAACCUUAGUAAAUUCAUAACUCCUCCGUUUUAACUCUGAUUUGAUCCGUUCAAGUUGCGUUAGUCUCGUAUAAAUGUUUACUAUGCAAUAACACCAUUUAUUAUAUCAUGUCUCAUUAUUUUAUGAUUAGAUUUUUAUUUAACUUAUGUUGGUUAGUCUUGUUAAGGUGUUCAUCAUUAUUUACUAAAUUAUGAUCUAUGGUCAAUUUAUAACUUAGAUUGAAGUUGAGAUAAUUAUUUAUAGAAUAAUCUCUUAUAUGCUUUGUAUUAACCAAUUUAUAAUAUAGUUUAACAUUUUAAUCACAUAAAUCCUCCAUGAAACCAUAACUCCUUAACCGUAACUCCGAUUUUAGUGGUUCUCAUUCCCGCGAUCUCGUAGCAACGCGUAGAUUAUUAUUAUUUAGUUUGUACUUAUAUUUGGUGUGAUGUUAAUUUUGUAUAUACCAUGUUUGUUUGUAUUGCUACAACUAGCAGUGCGGUCAUGAGGAUCUGAAGAAUCACCCUGGUAACUGGAAUCUCAAGUGCCAAGCAAGUUGUGCCCUUGAUCACUUUCAUUUACCCAAUAAUGUUCUUUAUUAUCACUUAUCAAUGCAUAGGUUUAAUUUUGAUGGGACCCAAUAGGUCACCCUAGAC
rnacentral:lncRNA from 1 species